ensembl:snoRNA
GUGCCCUUUCAAGGUUGACGCAGUGCCUUAAGAGGCUAACACAGAAGGGUAAAGAAAGUCUCCAUAAAACCCAGAGAAGAGAUUGUAGAACUCCUCUUUGGAUCCUGUCUGGAGUCACAGCU